rnacentral:lncRNA from 1 species
GCUACCAGCUAUGCACAUUGCAGCAUGUCCUCAGUAAUGGGGGUGAUGGUCUACAAGGUCCAUCACCCACAGAGAUGAGACAAGGACUCACUCCGUUCCUUUGCC